AAAACAUCCUUAUCUCUUCCCUUCAUUGCAGUAGAUCGAUUCUCCUGCUCCUUUCUUUAUCCUCAUUGGCACAAAUUGGGAGAGAGAGACGCUCUACUUCUCCUCCCUCUGUCUCUGAGAAGCAUCAAGCUUUGGUAAAUGUUUGUAUCUCAAAUUGUAAAGUUGAAGAAUCCGGAUUGAAAUUUGUGUGAGGGGAGGACUAAGCAUUUAGAUUUGCGUGAGGGGAGGACUAAGCAUUUAGAGUUACUACAAAAAUCCUAAUUUGCAGUUUGAGUCUUUGAUUUACUACCUCACAGAUCUAAGUUUGGUGGAUUACAAACUUGUGAAGUUCUUGCCUUCUAUGAUAGCUGCAUCGGCUAUAUUUCUAGCGAGAGUUAUUAUUACUAGAUCAAAAAUGAAUCCUUGGUGUCCAGCACUGCAAGAAUAUACUGGUUAUAAGGCAGUGGAUUUAAGAGUAUGUGUUCUUAUCAUCCAUGACUUUUUUUUGGGUAGACGUGGUGGAUCUUUGGUAGCUGUACGAGAUAAAUACAAAAAGACUAAUUAAGGUAUGUCUACCAAAGUGUUUGAUUCUUAAACCCAUUAUUAAGAAAUGAAAUCAUGGUCUUAAUGGAGUCGUUUUCUUUUGGCAGUUAAACUGUGUGGCAAAAAUGCAUUGCCCUUCACAGUUACCACAUUCUUGGUUUGAAGCUGUGAAAGCAAGAAGAAAGAUUUUUGUGGCAAGGGCUUGUCCAAUAUUAUUGGAAGAUCUGGCUUUAUGUUAUGUAGAGAGUGCAAAAUGUCAAGCUGCCUAGUGACCAAAGCUGUUGGUGGAGAUGGGGAUAAUGAACUUCAAUCUUCCUUCAUACCAUCUUGAAGGGUUCCACAAUUCCAUGAAACUACUGCCCACUUUGCACAAGAUUUAACCUUCUGUAUUUUGGACUACU